GAGUUUGAUCUGGCUCAGGACGAACGCUGGCGGCGCGCCUAACACAUGCAAGUCGAACGGAGCUGAGAGGAGCUUGCUUUUCUUAGCUUAGUGGCGAACGGGUGAGUAACGCGUGAGUAACCUGCCCUGGAGUGGGGGACAACAGUUGGAAACGACUGCUAAUACCGCAUAAGCCCACGAUCCGGCAUCGGAUUGAGGGAAAAGGAUUUAUUCGCCUCAGGAUGGACUCGCGUCCAAUUAGCUAGUUGGUGAGGUAACGGCCCACCAAGGCGACGAUUGGUAGCCGGCCUGAGAGGGCGGACGGCCACAUUGGGACUGAGACACGGCCCAAACUCCUACGGGAGGCAGCAGUAGGGAAUUUUCGUCAAUGGGGGGAACCCUGAACGAGCAAUGCCGCGUGAGUGAGGAAGGUCUUCGGAUCGUAAAGCUCUGUUGUAAGAGAAAAACGGCACUCAUAGGGAAUGAUGAGUGAGUGAUGGUAUCUUACCAGAAAGUCACGGCUAACUACGUGCCAGCCGCCGCGGUAAUUC
rnacentral:rRNA from 1 species